AAAGUCUGGAGUAAAAGGCUAUGGCUCAACCAUAGUGUGCUCUGGAAACUGUNUGACUUGAGUGCAGAAGGGGAGAGUGGAAUUCCAUGUGUAGCGGUGAAAUGCGUAGAUAUAUGGAGGAACACCAGUGGCGAAAGCGGCUCUCUGGUCUGUCACUGACGCUGAGGCUCGAAAGCGUGGGUAGCGAACAGGAUUAGAUACCCUGGUAGUNCACGCCGUAAACGAUGAGUGCUAGGUGUUAGGCCCUUUCCGGGGCUUAGUGCCGGAGCUAACGCAAUAAGCACUCCGCCUGGGGAGUACGACCGCAAGGUUGAAACUCAAAGGAAUUGACGGGGGCCCGCACAAGCGGUGGAGCAUGUGGUUUAAUUCGAAGCAACGCGAAGAACCUUACCAGGUCUUGACAUCCCGAUGCUAUUCUUAGAGAUAGGAAGUUACUUCGGUACAUCGGAGACAGGUGGUGCAUGGUUGUCGUCAGCUCGUGUCGUGAGAUGUUGGGUUAAGUCCCGCAACGAGCGCAACCCUUAUUGUUAGUUGCCAUCAUUAAGUUGGGCACUCUAGCGAGACUGCCGGUAAUAAACCGGAGGAAGGUGGGGAUGACGUCAAAUCAUCAUGCCCCUUAUGACCUGGGCUACACACGUGCUACAAUGGUCGGUACAAUGAGUUGCGAGCCGGUGACGGCAAGCUAAUCUCUGAAAGCCGAUCUCAGUUCGGAUUGGAGGCUGCAACUCGCCUCCAUGAAGUCGGAAUCGCUAGUAAUCGCGGAUCAGCACGCCGCGGUGAAUACGUUCCCGGGCCUUGUACACACCGCCCGUCACACCACGAGAGUUUGUAACACCCGAAGUCGGUGAGGUAACCUUUUAGGGGCCAGCCGCCUAAGGUGGGA
rnacentral:rRNA from 1 species